GCGGGAGUAGCUCAGUUGGUAGAGCGCAACCUUGCCAAGGUUGAGGUCGCGAGUUCGAGACUCGUCUCCCGC
rnacentral:tRNA from 2 species